rnacentral:rRNA from 1 species
AUACGUAGGUGACAAGCGUUAUCCGGAUUUACUGGGCGUAAAGGGCGUGUAGGCGGUCUUGCAAGUCAGAAGUGAAAUUCCUGAGCUCAACUCGGGCGCUGCUUCUGAAACUGCAGGACUUGAGUGCUGGAGGGGAUAGCGGAAUUCCUAGUGGAGCGGUAAAAUGCGCAGAUAUUAGGAAGAACACCGGUGGCGAAGGCGGCUAUCUGGACAGUAACGGACGCUGAGGCGCGAAAGCGUGGGGAGCAAAAAGGAUUAGAUACCCUGGUAGGCCACGCCGUAAACGAUGAAUACUAGGUGUAGGGGGUAUCGACUCCCUCUGUGCCGCAGUUAACACAAUAAGUAUUCCGCCUGGGGAGUACGGCCGCAAGGUUGAAACUCAAAGGAAUUGACGGGG